AGUGAACGCUGGCGGUAGGCCUAACACAUGCAAGUCGAACGGCAGCACAGUAAGAGCUUGCUCUUACGGGUGGCGAGUGGCGGACGGGUGAGGAAUACAUCGGAAUCUACUUUUUCGUGGGGGAUAACGUAGGGAAACUUACGCUAAUACCGCAUACGACCUACGGGUGAAAGCAGGGGAUCUUCGGACCUUGCGCGAUUGAAUGAGCCGAUGUCGGAUUAGCUAGUUGGCGGGGUAAAGGCCCACCAAGGCGACGAUCCGUAGCUGGUCUGAGAGGAUGAUCAGCCACACUGGAACUUAGACACGGUCCAGACUCCUACGAGAGGCAGCAGUGGGGAAUAUUGGACAAUGGGCGCAAGCCUGAUCCAGCCAUACCGCGUGGGUGAAGAAGGCCUUCGGGUUGUAAAGCCCUUUUGUUGGGAAAGAAAAGCAGCAGGUUAAUACCCCGCUGUUCUGACGGUACCCAAAGAAUAAGCACCGGCUAACUUCGUG
rnacentral:rRNA from 1 species